CCCAAACUUUUCACAAUAGAAUUUAGGUUUAAUUUAAUUUGUAUGGAAAAUUUUCAUUAUCAUCUUCCUCUCUCAAUUACGGCUAAAGCUUCCAAAAUCACCCUACAUUCUCUUUGAAAAGCAAGAUAUGGUUAUCUUUGCUUUUCUCUUUUAUCUAUGAGUUGAUUGUUCUUCUUAUCUGAUCGUUGCGGGUAUAAGCAGUUACAAAUAAGAUUCAUAUAAUGUUUUUAGGACGAGUUAAGAUGUAAACUGAGUUGCAUCUAUGCCUUUUUUCUCUUCUAUUGUCUUCUUCUUUGUGGCGACUGCUAUGUUAUAUUGUUGAUGCCGUGAUAGUAGCAAGGUAUCUUCGUGCAACUCUUGUAAUCCCAGACAUCAGGGGGAGCGAACCUGGGGAUAAGAGGUUUGUGUUCUCUAUUCUGUUUUCCUUAUCUUGUCAUUCUUGUAGAGUUCUAGUGUUUUUUCAAAUGAAAAUGAUUCACGAAAUUUAAUGUGUGUUUCUAUUGUCAUUGAUUGAGGUUACUUGAAUUAUUCUUUCUGUAUUAGCCCUUGUAACAUCACAUUUUUCGUGCCUGAUUUUCCCAGAUAGAAACUAGACGCUCACUCAUGAGCCAUGAUAAUGCACAUAUUUCUAUUUUCAGAAUCUCCAUUAUUUUAUUUUCGUAUCUGUUCCUCUAUUUUUCUUUUUUUCACUCCAGUCCCAGUUUGAAAGAGCUUGUCAAUGAUCACUAAAAAGAUGAUUGAUCAUGCACAUGGCACGAUGCUCUGCCAAGUUUUUCUGUGUCUUCUACUUCUCCUUUUCCGUUUUGUGCAUUUGGAGCAGUUUUAAAGGCCCCACUCGGGGAAUGCUUAAUCACUGAGCUAAAGUAGUGUAGAGUAAGUGCUUCGCGUUUCUUUGACAGGCAGUUUACUGCAGGCAACAAGCACACCUCAACGCCCACAAACUCUCUCUCAAUUAAUUGCAAAAUUUCAAUUCUUUGGUCCAUAAGAUAAUUAUUUGUACUUGUCAUUAUAUUUUUCUCAUUACAUAUGUUAUGUGUAUAUGUGUGGACAAGAUUGUCCAUUAAAUGCACUUAAAGCCCCAACAGACACUUCACACUUUCUUACGCUUUUUCCCUCCCGUAACUCUGGAGAUUGAGUUUUGAGGAGGACACUAGAUAUGACCUUCAUGAGCCAUUUUCCUAGUUGAAGUUUCUUUUUGCUGAACUAUACCAUUUGGGGUCUCGAAAUACUAGAGGGAGGUGAUUAGACAUGACAUGGAGCAGCUUCAGCUUACUAAAACAACCUCUCUGCUUCACUUGAGUUAGUGGUAUGGUCUACGUACACUCUACCCUCCCCAGACCCCACUAUGUGGGAAUACACUGGGUAUGUUGUUAUUGAUUACGUUACCUUUAGCUUGCUAGCUGGGAUAUAUAUAUUAUAUAUAGGCCUUAUUUGUUUGCACUUAAUGGAUGUCUGAAUCUGAAUGAUUCAGACUUCAGACCAUUAAGUGCAUUUGUUUUUCAUUAAGAUUUUGCCACUUAAUAGGUCUGAAUUGGUCAUAAUCAUUCAGAUCUAAAACUAAGUCUUAAACAUUAAGAGGCAUUCUUGUGUUGGAUAAUAUUCACCACCACUCUAACCAUAAUCAUCAGUCACCACCAAUUACCUCUACCACCACCACCAUUGUCAACCACCACCUAGCCCCCAACCACCUCCACCAUUACAACCACCAUUCAUAAUCAUAAUUGCUACUAACCACUAUUUUCAGUCUCUUAUCACAUCUACUACCUCCAUUAUUUUAAUUACACCAGCCGCUAUCACAACCGUCAACACCAACGCCAAUGCCAGUGCCAGCACCACCACCAUCACCAACCACUAUUGGCCAAUCUCAACUGCUAACCAACUCAUCUAUCAUAACUACCGCCAUUACUAACUACUACUAACACAUCAUCAACAUCCACACAUUCUUCAGCCACCACCACCAUUGUAAUCGAUGUUGCCACCUCUAUCACUGCUUCAACCACCAUCAUCGCUACAAUAUAUCUCUAUUAAUAAUCAUUUUCACCAUCACAACUAACAUCAUCUCCACCAUCACAGCUAACAACUAAGUUUCUCGGACUCGGGAGCGGGUAUCCAAUAUGGGUACGGAUCUAGAAGUCGGAUCCUUCACGGUCUCAAUUUAAAGAUUCGACAAUAUGGAUCUAGGGAUGGAUACAGGUGUGGGGAUUCGGCGAAAAA